rnacentral:lncRNA from 1 species
UGCAUCCCAAGAAGUAGGAAGACACAAGGGUAGUCCCUGUGGGUGUGGCCAGCAGUCUUCCAGUGUUGAACAGGUUCAUUCAGUCCUCAGUCUUCCAGGGUUGAAUGAUGCAUUCAGUCCCCAGAAGGCCCACUUGAGCUCUGCCUGCCCAGGACACAGAGAGGAGCUUGACCAGCCUUUGUCAGGACUCCGUGGGAGCUCUAGGACACUGGUGGGUCACCUCAACUGCUCCUGUUCUGGCUGGAGACAGCUGUGGGGGAGGAGGGGGGAGAGGCAGUGUCCUGUUGGACCCCCGUCCCCCUCAGCAGGUUAAUCCCUCUGCCUCUGUGUCACAUUGUUGAGAAUUAACUUUGUUGAAAUAAAAAUUGGUCUUGGUAUUAACUC